GUUAGCCGCAAUGAUUACAGGGAGGGUAUCUUCUGGUCCUAGAAAGGCAUACUUAAGAGUUGUCGGAAGUGGCUUUAACUCAAGUUUAGGUGGAGAAUCAAUGGAAGGACAAAGUGGUGCGCUAGCAAUAGGGGGAAGAGGUUCAGGUCGGAUCUUCCAAGGAAGGGAACUCAUGGAAGAUUGAUUGUCGAGUAAGAUGUUAACUUCUU
rnacentral:lncRNA from 1 species